UUUUUAAUAAGCAACUCUUUCUAUUGUUGUUUUCCUGUUUUGGACUAUCGUUUCUGUGUUUUGAUGUGUCAAUAGAAAAUUGGAUAACUAAAAAGCAUACUGCAAUCAUUGUUUGCCAUUCUAUUUUUUUCCACGUCUUAAUUGUCUUUUUUUGUGACAUUAACAUGCUUCCAUACCAGAGAAUAUGACCAUAAUUGGUAAUAAUUUAUUAAUUCACAUAAAGAUACAUGGUUGAAUAUCUUUUCUAGCCUACGUUGAUAUGCUAAUCUGAUCUAUUUACAUAGAAUUGAUGGUGUAUCCAUACAAGGAACACACAGAAAUAGCUAUUAUAUGCUGGAAAUAAAACAAAGAAAAAUGAAGUUAAAUAAAUUACAUGUUAAAUUUUAUGGGUGGAGAUGUAAACCUCCGAAUAAAAUCUGAAGAUAUGAGAUUCAGCUAUUCUUAAAAUUCAGAAUCUUUGUCUGCAUGUUGCUGUUUGUUAAAGAAUAAGUAAAAUUAACAAUUUUCAAUUGAACUACCACCUACAGUCAUGAGGGUAUUUCUUUUUCCAAAGAACUUUUAAUUGGUUCCAAAUUUUUGAAAAGAAUGUAUGACCUCAAACUAUUGGUGAAUAAAUAUAUUAUGAAAUUGUGAUUUUUGCAGAAUUGGUUAUAUUUUGUUUGCAUAUAUGUUUUUAUUUAAAUACUUGUAGAAAAAUACUACUUUUUUUAUGGUGGCAUAUCUUAUAUUGAUGGAUGGACAGAAAUUAGUAGCUUAUAUACUGACAUCCAUGAGUUUAAUGCAUAAAUCUGCAAUAAUUCUCUGAUUCAUAAUCAGCAUUCAUAUUCUUGCAUUGUCAUGGGUUCAAUUUCUUCAACACUAGCGAUAAAACUAAUGUGGUGUUUGCUAGUUCCAAGAUUGUUUUGUAGUUAUAAAACAGAACAGCGUAAAGGAAAUUAAAAGUAUCAAGACUUUUAGGCAUAGUUUAAAGCGGCAUCCUGUAUUUUUUGUUAUGAAAUGUCCACCACAGGCCCCGGCAUUUACAUAAGACGUCAAAUAGGCCAUUUUUCUAUCAGGAUAAACUAUUGUUGGAAAGUAAUAACUUGAAUUAUUCUCGUAGUUCCUGAAAUGCAAUGAAGCAUUUUGAAUACAUUAUUUCUCAAUUAGCCUCCUGUCUCAACAUGUGCAUUUAAGAUUCCAGUUAAAUUAAUGCCCUUAGUUGACAUAGGGGGGUUUAUUCGGAAAAAUAGUGGUGGGAAAAUGUGUCUAUGAUCAUAAGGAGGCUUAUUCAGUCAUCUAAGGAGCUGGUGGUAAUUUGUAAAAAUUAUCCAGUUAGUGUCCCACUAUUGUAGAGCCCAAGAUUCUGGAAUUAACUAUAGGUGUUAAAUAGUUUGUAUAUCAAAUUCCUGAAGCAUUCUGCGUCAUUGAGCAUGAAUGCACACUGUAUUAGUUCUUUUUGCUGGUUGAGUCCGAAAGAGCUUCAAAUAUAUAAUUGCUUUGCAACUGAUGCUCUCUCAUUAACAAUAGAUGAUGUCAUUUUGAUUUCUGUGAGGCUUUGAGGGACUAUGAGAUGAUUGUGCAGUUUUAAACCAAGUACCUGGUGAAUUUUAAUGUGCCCGUCUGAUCAAGUGGACUUUUCUGCAUGCAAAUCUCUAUAUCUUCUCCUCUCUUUCUUUCCUCUCACUUUUCUUUUGUCAAAAUGUUGGCUUUGCUUGGUUGUCCAAUUCUGUGGUGAGGGUAUGCUCAAAUGGAAAUAUAUGCCAGUAUCUUGUUAACUGUGUUCUUGAAUCAGCUUUAUUAUUUCACAAAUCUUGUUUCAGCUAAGUCCUUUAUUGUCGAGUUAAAUGCCAAAUCUCUUUUUCUUUGGAUGCAAUUGAAUUUGAAGAGAGUAUGCGAGCAGCUAGGUUGGACAGCAAGGUAUCACAAGUACAAGCUUUUCGAGCACAGACAGGUCAUGGUCCCCCAACAAGAAUGCGUUGCAUGGAAACAAAUAUAGAUUACGAACUGCCAAAUUGUUGCUUACAUGUGUAGACUUUUUAGUCAAUCGUACUAACUUUCCAACUGGCAUUGGUUCUGACUUGCAGAUCAAAUUAUCCAUACAUGGAAGCUGAACCUGGUGAAUUGACAGUUGAAGAUGUGGAAAGAUUUCUGAGUCUGUACAAAGAUGUAGUUACAAAGUACACUCAACUCUGCAGGGCCGUUUGGCAUCCCUCUGCAACCAGAACAGAACCAUCUCAUCCUGAGAUGAAAUUUUAUUCCAACUUGAUGGACAACUGCAAAUGAUCCAAGAGGAGAAUGAGGUGCACAAAUUUGUCAGUGGUGCACCAAAUGAAGUUGACGCGUCAAGUGCUACGAAGGUUGGUGAUUUUCACUUGAAAACUUCUGGAAAGCACAAGCAUAAUCAACUUUGUAUGCUAUUGGUAAGGUUUUCAGAAAUGGACAAUUUACAAGCUACUUCAGACAAUACAACUUUCAGUUCUGAUUCAUUAAACCAAUGAAAGUUGAGAAAAAUACUUUAAAUAUCAAAAGCAAUAGUUCAGUAUCAAA